GCUUGUGGAACGGCAUGUCGUGGCAAUCUCAUAUAUGUGUUUGUGUAAGUACUUGUUUUAGGCCAUCCUGAAAAUUGUGUAGAUAAAAAGAAAUUGGUAAGAAAUACACCAUAUGUUGUAAGCUGUUGAUUACAACUUUACAAGUAUACGGGGCUGAAACAUGGUGAAAACAUCUGUUCCAUAUCUUUAUCGAUAAUAUGGUGCAGUACUAAAUUGUCAUCAUAAGGAACUAGCAUGUCUCAUUUCCCACUUGAAAUUAUGUAUGAGAGGUACUGAUUGAUGAAUAGAAUCAAUACGUGAUGACUUCCUUGUUUAGUUCAGAAGUCAUAUUCAGAACGUGGAAUUUCCCAUAAUUUUUGUGCAAGAGUUAUUGAAACUCGUGUUCCAGCCAGGCCAAAGGAGGAUUUAAAUGUCCCGCAAAAAAAUAAGGAUUUAAACAGCAGGUCACUGCCCAAAUAAUGAAUGGAACAACUACACCAUAUUCAUUCCUCUGUAGCAACUGCUGUAUGAUAUCAAUCAGAACAAGGGAGAGAAAAUCAACACGUACUCUUCUACUUUGAUAGGGAUGGGGCUAUACCAAAGAACUUUCAGUAAAAUGUAGAUACUUGUAAUUGUUAAUUUUUCUGAAAGAAAUGGGUAUUAGCACCAUAAACCUGCUGUAUUUCUAAAAAUGAUUAAUCUUCAACUAACCGCUCAAUGACAAGUGAACUUACAGGGGUAUGCACUAUCUGAUUUAGACGUUUGCCAACUUCACCAUCAUUUUUAUUGAGAAUUGUCAACAAGAUCGACUGUCAUCUCCGCUCCAUACGGGUAUACUCCUGGGCAACAUGUGGAACCUAUCAGCCUCGUGAGCAACAUGUGUAACCUAUCGAGGUUAUCCUGAUCCUGCACCAUUACCAGCAAAAAGCAUCAAUAAAUAGAUGAACUCUUCAAGAGAAGCAACAUACACAUCUGUACUAACCAUC
rnacentral:lncRNA from 1 species